UUAGCGAAGGUCAUGAGUUCAGGCUGCCAAGAAAAGCCUCUAGCCAGGUGAAGGUGCCCGUACCGCAAACCGACACAGGUAGGCGAGCAGAGUAUGCUAAGGCGCUCGGAAGAACUCUCGUUAAGGAACUCGGCAAAAUGACCCCGUAACUUCGGGAGAAGGGGUGCCUCGGUAGGGUGAAUAGCCCGAGGGGGCCGCAGUGAAAAGGCCCAAGCGACUGUUUAGCAAAAACACAGGUCUGUGCGAAGCCGUAAGGCGAAGUAUACGGGCUGACGCCUGCCCGGUGCUGGAAGGUUAAGGGGAGUGGUUAGCCGCAAGGCGAAGCUAUGAACCGAAGCCCCAGUAAACGGCGGCCGUAACAAUAACGGUCCUAAGGUAGCGAAAUUCCUUGUCAGGUAAAUUCUGACCCGCACGAAUGGCGUAACGACUUGGGCGCUGUCUCAACGAGAGAUCCGGUGAAAUUUUAAUACCUGUGAAGAUGCAGGUUACCCGCGACAAGACGGAAAGACCCCAUGGAGCUUUACUGCAGCUUGAUAUUGGACUUUGGUACGAUCUGUACAGGAUAGGUGGGAGCCUUGGAAACCGGAGCGCCAGCUUCGGCGGAGGCAUCGUUGGGAUACCACCCUGAUCGUAUCGGAGUUCUAACCUGGUACCGUGAUCCGGUACAGGGACCGUGUCAGGUGGGCAGUUUGACUGGGGCGGUCGCCUCCUAAAAUGUAACGGAGGCGCCCAAAGGUUCCCUCAGAAUGGUUGGAAAUCAUUCGUAGCGUGCAAAGGCAUAAGGGAGCUUGACUGCGAGACCUACAAGUCGAGCAGGGACGAAAGUCGGGCUUAGUGAUCCGGUGGUACCGCAUGGAAGGGCCAUCGCUCAACGGAUAAAAGCUACCCUGGGGAUAACAGGCUUAUCUCCCCCAAGAGUCCACAUCGACGGGGAGGUUUGGCACCUCGAUGUCGGCUCAUCGCAUCCUGGGGCUGAAGUAGGUCCCAAGGGUUGGGCUGUUCGCCCAUUAAAGCGGUACGCGAGCUGGGUUCAGAACGUCGUGAGACAGUUCGGUCCCUAUCUGUCGUGGGCGUAGGAAAUUUGAGAGGAGCUGUCCUUAGUACGAGAGGACCGGGAUGGACGCACCGCUGGUGUACCAGUUGUUCCGCCAGGAGCAUAGCUGGGUAGCUACGUGCGGACGGGAUAAGCGCUGAAAGCAUCUAAGCGUGAAGCCCCCCUCAAGAUGAGAUUUCCCAGUAUGUAAGACCCCUGGAAGACGACCAGGUUGAUAGGUUCGAGGUGGAAGCGCAGCAAUGCGUGGAGCUGACGAAUACUAAUCGGUCGAGGGCUUAUCCUA
rnacentral:rRNA from 1 species